UCAAUGCUAUACAAUUGUCGGUUAACUG
rnacentral:sRNA from 1 species